UGUGAAAUUCAAUUUAAUUUGAUAUUAAAAUUUUUAUUAAAUUUUUAAUAUAAUUUUUUUUUAAUAAAAAAAUUUUAAUGUUUAAUUAUUUUUAAAGAAAAAAUUUAUUUUAUGAUAGUUUAUAGUAUAGUGAUAGAAUAAAUAAAAUUUUUUAAAGAAAAUUUUAUUAAUUGUACCUUGUGUAUCAGGGUUUAUUAAAAUUAUUAAAAAUUUUUAAUUUCUCGAAUUUUAAAGAGUUAAAUUUAUAUAUAUAUUAUUGUAAAAAAAAUAUUUUUAAUAUAAAUUUAGUAAUGAAAUGUUAAUCGUUUUAAAAUAUAUCUAGUUUUUAAAGAAAUAAAUUUAAUUUAAUAAUUUUUAAUUAAAAUUUUAUUUUUUAAAAUUUUAUUGAAAAUUGUAAGUAUUUAAAGGGAUAAGCUUUUAAUUAAAAUUUUAAAAAUUUUUUAAAGAUUAUAAAUUAUAGGAUUAGAAUUUUCUAUUUAUAAAAAAAUGUUAUAAUUAAUUAUAUUAUUAAUAAUAUUUAUAAAAAUUUUAAAUUUUUUAUUUAAAUAUUUAUUUAAAUUUUUUAAGUAAAGUAAUAAUGAUAAAAUUAGUAUAUUAAUUAUAAUUUAUUUAAAUAAAUUAUUAUUAUAAAAUAAAAUUAAGGAAUUCGGCAAAUUUAUUUUUCACCUGUUUAUUAAAAACAUGGCUUUUUGAUAAUAAUUUAAAGUCUGACCUGCCCAAUGAUAAGUUUAAUGGCCGCAGUAUAUUGACUGUGCAAAGGUAGCAUAAUCAUUAGUUUUUUAAUUGAAAGCUAGAAUGAAUGGUUUGAUGAAAAAAUAACUGUCUAUAUUUUAAUUUAAUAAAAUUUUAUUUUUAAGUUAAAAAGCUUAAAUAAUUUAAAAAGACGAGAAGACCCUAUAGAUCUUAAUUUUUAAAAAAUUAUUAAUAUUUAGAGUUGAAUAAUAAAAAUUUAGAAAAAAUUUUAUUGGGGUGAUAUUAAAAUUAAUGAAACUUUUAUUUUUUAAUAAUAUUGAAUAAAUAGUAAUUUGAUCCUAAGUUUUAGAUUAAAAGAAAAAGUUACCUUAGGGAUAACAGCGUAAUUUUUUUUAAGAGUUCUUAUCGAAAAAAAAGAUUGCGACCUCGAUGUUGGAUUAAAGUUAAAUUUUGGUGUAGAAGUUAAAAUUUUAAGUCUGUUCGACUUUUAAAACUUUACAUGAUCUGAGUUUAAACCGGUGUAAGCCAGGUUGGUUUCUAUCUUUUAAUAAAAUAAUAUUUUAGUACGAAAGGACCAAAUAUUAAAAUUAUAUUUUUUUUAUAGAAUAAAAUUAAAUUAUUUUGGCAGAUUAGUGCGAUAGAUUUAGAAUCUUUUUAAGUAAGAAAUUUACAAA
rnacentral:rRNA from 1 species